AUUGAACGCUGGCGGAAUGCUUUACACAUGCAAGUCGAACGGCAGCACGGACUUCGGUCUGGUGGCGAGUGGCGAACGGGUGAGUAAUGUAUCGGAACGUGCCCAGUCGUGGGGGAUAACGUAGUGAAAAUUACGCUAAUACCGCAUACGAUCUAUGGAUGAACGCGGGGGAUCGCAAGACCUCGCGCGAUUGGAGCGGCCGAUAUCAGAUUAGGUAGUUGGUGGGGUAAAGGCCCACCAAGCCAACGAUCUGUAGCUGGUCUGAGAGGACGACCCGCCACACUGGAACUGAGACACGGUCCAGACUCCUACGGGAGGCAGCAGUGGGGAAUUUUGGGCAAUGGGCGAAAGCCUGAUCCAGCCAUUCCGCGUGCAGGAUGAAGGCCCUCGGGUUGUAAACUGCUUUUGUACAGAACGAAAAGGUUUCUACUAAUACUAGGAGCUCAUGACGGUACUGUAAGAAUAAGCACCGGCUAACUACGUGCCAGCCGCCGCGGUAA
rnacentral:rRNA from 1 species